AUUGAACGCUGGCGGCAUGCCUUACACAUGCAAGUCGAACGGUAACAGGUCUUCGGAUGCUGACGAGUGGCGAACGGGUGAGUAAUACAUCGGAACGUGCCUAGUAGUGGGGGAUAACUACUCGAAAGAGUGGCUAAUACCGCAUGAGAUCUACGGAUGAAAGCAGGGGAUCGCAGGACCUUGUGCUACUAGAGCGGCCGAUGGCAGAUUAGGUAGUUGGUGGGAUAAAAGCUUACCAAGCCGACGAACUGUAGCUGGUCUGAGAGGACGAUCAGCCACACUGGGACUGAGACACGGCCCAGACUCCUACGGGAGGCAGCAGUGGGGAAUUUUGGACAAUGGGCGCAAGCCUGAUCCAGCAAUGCCGCGUGCAGGAUGAAGGCCUUCGGGGCGUAAACUGCUUUUGUACGGAACGAAAAGCCCUGGGUUAAUACCCUGGGGUCAUGACGGUACCGUAAGAAUAAGCACCGGCUAACUACGUGCCAGCCGCCGCCGUAA
rnacentral:rRNA from 1 species